rnacentral:rRNA from 1 species
GCAAGUCGAGCGAGACGGUUAUGAUUGAUCCUUCGGGUGAGAGAUUAACUAGAAAGCGGCGGACGGGUGAGUAACGCGUGGGUAACCUACCUCAUACACAGGGAUAGCCAUUGGAAACGAUGAUUAAUACCUGAUAACACAUACGAAACACAUGUUUUGUAUGUCAAAGAUUUAUCGGUAUGGGAUGGACCCGCGUCUGAUUAGCUAGUUGGUAAGGUAACGGCUUACCAAGGCGACGAUCCCUAGCUGGUCUGAGAGGAUGAUC